rnacentral:rRNA from 1 species
AGCGUACACGGUGGAUGCCCUGGCAGUCAGAGGCGAUGAAGGACGUGCUAAUCUGCGAAAAGCGCCGGCGAGGUGAUAUGAACCUUUGACCCGGCGAUGUCCGAAUGGGGAAACCCAGUGCAAUCCGUUGCACUAUCGUUAACUGAAUACAUAGGUUAACGAGGCGAACCGGGGGAACUGAAACAUCUAAGUACCCCGAGGAAAAGAAAUCAACCGAGAUUCCCCCAGUAGCGGCGAGCGAACGGGGAGCAGCCCGGAGUCUGAAUCAGCUUGUGUGUUAGUGGAACGGUCUGGAAAGUCCGACGGUACAGGGUGAUAGUCCCGUACACGAAAGCACACUUGCUGUGAACUCGAAGAGUAGGGCGGGACACGUGGUAUCCUGUCUGAAUAUGGGGGGACCAUCCUCCAAGGCUAAAUACUCCUGACUGACCGAUAGUGAACCAGUACCGUGAGGGAAAGGCGAAAAGAACCCCGGCGAGGGGAGUGAAAAAGAACCUGAAACCGUGUACGUACAAGCAGUGGGAGCCUCUUUAUGGGGUGACUGCGUACCUUUUGUAUAAUGGGUCAGCGACUUAUAUUCUGUAGCAAGGUUAACCGUAUAGGGGAGCCGAAGGGAAACCGAGUCUUAACUGGGCGUUAAGUUGCAGGGUAUAGACCCGAAACCCGGUGAUCUAGCCAUGGGCAGGUUGAAGGUUGGGUAACACUAACUGGAGGACCGAACCGACUAAUGUUGAAAAAUUAGCGGAUGACCUGUGGCUGGGGGUGAAAGGCCAAUCAAACCGGGAGAUAGCUGGUUCUCCCCGAAAGCUAUUUAGGUAGCGCCUCGUGAACUCAUCUUCGGGGGUAGAGCACUGUUUCGGCUAGGGGGCCAUCCCGGCUUACCAACCCGAUGCAAACUACGAAUACCGAAGAAUGUUAUCACGGGAGACACACGGCGGGUGCUAACGUCCGUCGUGAAGAGGGAAACAACCCAGACCGCCAGCUAAGGUCCCAAAGUCAUGGUUAAGUGGGAAACGAUGUGGGAAGGCACAGACAGCCAGGAUGUUGGCUUAGAAGCAGCCAUCAUUUAAAGAAAGCGUAAUAGCUCACUGGUCGAGUCGGCCUGCGCGGAAGAUGUAACGGGGCUAAACCAUGCACCGAAGCUGCGGCAGCGACGCUUAGGCGUUGUUGGGUAGGGGAGCGUUCUGUAAGCCGUUGAAGGUGUCCUGUGAGGGGUGCUGGAGGUAUCAGAAGUGCGAAUGCUGACAUAAGUAACGAUAAAGCGGGUGAAAAGCCCGCUCGCCGGAAGACCAAGGGUUCCUGUCCAACGUUAAUCGGGGCAGGGUGAGUCGGCCCCUAAGGCGAGGCCGAAAGGCGUAGUCGAUGGGAAACAGGUUAAUAUUCCUGUACUUGGUGUUACUGCGAAGGGGGGACGGAGAAGGCUAUGUCAGCCGGGCGACGGUUGUCCCGGUUUAAGCAUGUAGGCGGAGGUUCCAGGUAAAUCCGGUACCUUAUUAACGCUGAGGUGUGAUGACGAGGCACUACGGUGCUGAAGUGAUAAAUGCCCUGCUUCCAGGAAAAGCCUCUAAGCAUCAGGUAACACGAAAUCGUACCCCAAACCGACACAGGUGGUCAGGUAGAGAAUACCAAGGCGCUUGAGAGAACUCGGGUGAAGGAACUAGGCAAAAUGGUGCCGUAACUUCGGGAGAAGGCACGCUGAUAUGUAGGUGAAGCCCCUGCGGGCGGAGCUGAAAUCAGUCGAAGAUACCAGCUGGCUGCAACUGUUUAUUAAAAACACAGCACUGUGCAAACACGAAAGUGGACGUAUACGGUGUGACGCCUGCCCGGUGCCGGAAGGUUAAUUGAUGGGGUUAGCGGCAACGCGAAGCUCUUGAUCGAAGCCCCGGUAAACGGCGGCCGUAACUAUAACGGUCCUAAGGUAGCGAAAUUCCUUGUCGGGUAAGUUCCGACCUGCACGAAUGGCGUAAUGAUGGCCAGGCUGUCUCCACCCGAGACUCAGUGAAAUUGAACUCGCUGUGAAGAUGCAGUGUACCCGCGGCAAGACGGAAAGACCCCGUGAACCUUUACUAUAGCUUGACACUGAACACUGGUCCUUGAUGUGUAGGAUAGGUGGGAGGCUUUGAAGCGUGGACGCCAGUCUGCGUGGAGCCAACCUUGAAAUACCACCCUUUAAUGGCUGGUGUUCUAACGUAGACCCGUAAUCCGGGUUGCGGACAGUGUCUGGUGGGUAGUUUGACUGGGGCGGUCUCCUCCCAAAGAGUAACGGAGGAGCACGAAGGUUGGCUAAUCCUGGUCGGACAUCAGGAGGUUAGUGCAAUGGCAUAAGCCAGCUUGACUGCGAGCGUGACGGCGCGAGCAGGUGCGAAAGCAGGUCAUAGUGAUCCGGUGGUUCUGAAUGGAAGGGCCAUCGCUCAACGGAUAAAAGGUACUCCGGGGAUAACAGGCUGAUACCGCCCAAGAGUUCAUAUCGACGGCGGUGUUUGGCACCUCGAUGUCGGCUCAUCACAUCCUGGGGCUGAAGUAGGUCCCAAGGGUAUGGCUGUUCGCCAUUUAAAGUGGUACGCGAGCUGGGUUUAGAACGUCGUGAGACAGUUCGGUCCCUAUCUGCCGUGGGCGCUGGAGAAUUGAGGGGGGCUGCUCCUAGUACGAGAGGACCGGAGUGGACGCAUCACUGGUGUUCGGGUUGUCAUGCCAAUGGCACUGCCCGGUAGCUAAAUGCGGAAGAGAUAAGUGCUGAAAGCAUCUAAGCACGAAACUUGCCCCGAGAUGAGUUCU